ACCCAAGGCAAACUAUUGGAUUUUGUAUGGCAAACAAGGAACUGACUGGUCGUAUAGCGAGACGGCGCGAGACACUUCGAGGGAUGGGACUCGAGGAACACCUGUCAGAGGUUAGUGACCCCUGGAGUCGAAAAUUCGAAAAUUCAAAAAAAAAAGGUAAAUGGAUUUUUGAGGGUUUUUGGUAAUUUUUGAGGAAUUUUAAGGAUUUUUGGGGAUGAGUGGAAUUUGCCAAUUUUGUGAAUUUCGAGGGAGUGGAUGAUGGGGGGUUUUUAAUAGUGACUGUAGAGGUUGGGAGUGCGAAUGUUUUGAGGCUGUAACUCAGCUGUAUAAUCCUCCCUGCCCCGCCACUGUUAUCCCCCUCCUUGUGAUUUUUGUGAAAAUAAUGGAAAUUGUUACGUACGUCCCUGAAAAAUAGUGGCGACGAAGCCGCCAAGUGGCGCGCGCAUGUUUCCAACGAAAUAACCAAGCCAUUUUAUCCGUGGUCGACAUGUUCGCGCGGCCCAACAGCUGUUCCGUGCGCCGAGCAAACUCCCCAUUCGUUUCAAUCUGGGUCAUGGAAACUGCGCAAAACCACGUUUAUCAAGUUGCUUCACUAAUAAAUUGCCGAUUUUCUUCGAUUAUCCCCGAUGAAAAGUGGUGAUUUGUGAUUUCUGGCGGUACUUGGUGGUACAGGGUGUGUUCGGGUGUUCGAGGAAAUUGGAGGAAUUAUUUUUUCGAGGCUGGUUUUUCGAGAGAAAAAAGAAGAUGAAGGAAUUAAAGAUGGUUGGAUUUCGUUCUAAUACGAAAAUACGACACGUUUGGUAGUAGUGAUGUUCGGGGACGUGGGAUUGGCAAAUUGCGCAUCUGUCGGGCUGUGUGAUUGGUGGAGAAGCCAGAGAGACGAGCUCUCAUUGGCUCGCACUUCGGUUAUUUACGGAGACUCCUCGGUUAUCCUCUCGUUCUAUCCCUUUACCUCUCUCUUUUUCUCCUACUCCUUCCCCUUUCGCGCUCUUUCCUCUUUUUUUUUUCUUCUAUGCGUUCAUUUUUAUUUAUUCCUUUUUAUUCUUUUUGAGACUCUGUGGGGAUCCCGCCGAAACGACGGACGAAGCCACUACGUAUGCUACAAAACUUGAUUUCGUUCUUUCUGUGGGUGAUUCCUCCUUUAUUCGGCUGGAGUUCAGUUUUGGAAAUUCAUCAGCGGGAGACAUUUAUUAUUUUUACGAGCUAAAUUCUGCCAAUUUAAUUUUUCGCCUCUCGAGUUUUUAAUUUCUUUGACAGCUCUGACAGCUCCGGACAUUCGAAUCGAGUUCAAUUUUAAUUUCAAUCGUAUGAAAUAAUUGAGAAUUGAAUCUUUAUCUCCACUCGCGAUGUAGAAUGAUUUUCUAUAUUCAAUAAAAACCAAUAAACCUAAAGAUCAUCAUUGAGAUCAUUGAGAUAAUCUUCGAAAUUCAUCCACAGCUUUCUCCCUUCAUGCACUUGAUAUUUUAUCCAGAAUUUUUCCCAAUGACACUUUUUCCGAAUAAAUCGGUUAGCCAUCGAUUUAACCGAGAAGAUUGCGAGUAGUGCAUUUCACUGACUUUCCAAUGCUCAAAAAUUCAUCGAUCCUUCCACAACUUGCAUCAACUUCCCACCAUCUAACCCCUUCAUUCGCCUUUCAAUAAAAGAAAAAAGAAGUAAUUGUUUCCUCUUCCAAGUUCUAUUUAUUCGUCGGAAUGUUUUAUUUUCCUUUCAUUUGCGUUGGACAUUCCGUCUAUCAGCCGGUAAAACGUCAAAGUGGGUAGAAAGAGGGGGUAAUCGACGGAGGCGCAUGAUACGGUGGUUUUUGGUACUUUUUAAAUGUUGAAAAUAGUCUUGUGGGGAGUGUUUCACUGGUGAAAUCGACCAAUAACGCCAAGAUCGGAGGGAUCGGAGUCAUCGCAGUGAUUGGGGACUAGACUGGGCGGGUUGUGCGGUCGAUCGAGCCGAGUGAACGAGGAUGGCAAGUGAAUUGUUUCGGUGCACCAAUGUCACUGGUCUGUGCGGGUGAAAGCGGAACUGAUCCUGGGACACCUACCAAUGGGUUCAGACUUGAAUAAAAAAAAAUUUGUUGGACCGUAUGUCUCGCCUGACUUCUUCUGAAUCUUCUACCUGCAGUUAAAACGUGUGUGUAUACUAUCAGCAGGUGAAAGGGGACCUUUUACAUUAAUAGGAUUUAAACUUAUGACAAAAUGGCAGGCUUUUUAGCGAUUUCGUUUUGAUUUUUUAAUAUGUCAGAGUCGAGACGAGUUUUAGCAGUUUUUUGGUGACUUUCAAUUGUACUUUUGGUGGAAACUGAUUGUUGUUACAUGAGAUAUUCAGUUGAAGUGAUGGUAAAAUCGGAAUUGGCUCUGAAGAACGUACUGAGAGUAAAUUAUAUAUUGUAAAAAUAAGUUACACUCUGGUAUUGAUCGUUGCAGCUUUUCACGUUUUUCUCGUCAAUUUUUCAAUUCUCGUUUGGCUAAUUGAUUAUUAAAUAUUUUCACCAUGAGGUCAGAGGACUUCUUCUUGGUAAUUCGCCUCAUUCUUUAAAUUCUGAUUCUAGUGAUUUAUGAUUAUUCUUGAUAAUCAAGUAAUCAGUCUUAUUAAUUUCAUGAAAUGCAUUCAGUUAUUGUGAAUUCUUGUCGGUUGUAAUGAAUCGGUUUGGGUACUUUGCUGGUUAGAUUCUGCACCACUUCUUUCAGUUUUUAAUUAAUUUCCUCUUUCUCGUUAUCUAGAGAAUGAACCCGCGAUUGGCAAAAAAAAUACUGUCUUGAUAUCGAAAGUAUUAAUAGAACUGUUCUAUUGGAAAUUUCUGGAGGCGAUGGUCAGAGAUAUUGUCCCAGUAAUUGGAUUUUUAUUGCUUGUAUCGGAUAAUCAUCAUUUUUAACUCUUUACACGAUUUAUUUAUUUCUCAUCCAAUUAAUGCCAAUGUAGAUUGGAUUAGAAUGAAGUAAGUGAAAAUUGAUGAAGAAUUCAAUAAAUUGAAAGAAUAAAAUAAAUUGAAUAAUUAUAUGGAAUAUAUUCUGAAAAGAUCAUAGAAACUUGCAAGUUCAUUUCUCUAAAUAUUAAAAAAAAACUGGGAAUUCUGGGAGCUCUUGAGUUUAAUUUUUAAAACAAUCAAAUUCUAUUGCAGUGUGCACAUUCCGAAGAAAUUAUAAACAAUUAAAUCCGACGAUUUCAUCAUUGUUUACAUACUGUAAAAUUUCAUUGAUUACUGACUCAAUUGAAAUAUAAAAUUGAAAUAUUCGCAAAAUAGUAUUUCAAAAUCUACACGUGUUGAUCAGUUUUUCUUUACAUAAGACCGCAGAAUUCUAACCUCAAUACCACCAAAUCAUUCCAGCUUGUCACAUGAUCUUUGAUCAGGCCAUAAAAAUAAGAAGAAUCCAUCACUAAUUAAUCAUUAUAAAAAUAAUCUACUGGACGCGCCAAAAUUAUUAACCACACUCUCCAUUGUUUUAGCGUGAUAAAAUCAUCUAUUUACUUAACCGUACUGUUUUCUCUACCACAUAUAUGUCCCCCGUUAUCUCAAGCUAUUUUUCUUUAUCAUUCACGUAUUUCCCUCACACUCAGUUUCCCCAGUCAUAUUCAAGAAUUGAAAUAUUCAAACGAGAGUCAUGGCUACUCCAUUUCCUAUCGCAAACGAAAAAAAAAUAAUCAUUGUUUACACUGUCACGUGUUGCUGCACCCCAUCAAUACCACCAUUCAAUUACCAUAACGAGAGUGAGUGAUCUUUUAUUUAGAUGUGUUAAUGCAAACUUUGAGACAGUGAAUAGAUCCAUAAGCUACUAUUAAAACUCGAGAUUACUUCGAAGAAUUACAUCUGACAAACGGUGUAUCCAUGUUUAUAUCAUA